AGUGUGUGCAGCAUAGAGAUUCACAUUACUUACAAGUAUGCUUCAAAUAGCAACUCAGAAUUGCCUUGGAAACCAUUUCAGAGCCUGAAAUUGCUGAUGUGGGGUGGAUUAUUCUAGAGAAAAAGCGAAAAGAGAAGUUACAAUAUCUUAGAUAUUUGUGGAGUUUUCUCCUCGCUUCUCUGGGUAGCUGGGUGUGCUUGUCCUUCUGUCUGAACUAUUAGUGAUUUGUGGCCUGCAAGCUUUGCACUUAUAAAAGGUAGCAAAGGGAAAAUUCUCUCGGUACAGACAUGAGUGUUGCUGGCAGGGUAAGACUGAGGGUGCUGAAGGUUUUAGGCUUUCUUCUACGUGGUCUGCUGAUGGCACCACAAAAUUCAAAUGCAGAAAGCAACCUUGUCUCUCAAGAAGCAUAUGAGAGGGUUGUACAUCAUGAAUCUUACAAUUCUUCCAGUAAAGUGCAUCCCUGGAGUUGGGGUCAAGGUGUUUUUUUUUCUGCUCUUCUCACUAUCUUUGGUACUUGGUGAGUGUUGGCUGUGAAGGCUCUUGUGGAGUGUGAAUUUCUCUGAGCAGUACAAGAAAAGUAUAACAGAGACUUCUGCAUGGGCAAAAGGAGGGAGGGAGAAGAAAUGAAAAAUUUUAUAAAGAAACUUUGCAGAAAUAAAACAUUAUGCCUGGGUUCCUUGAUGAAAUCUGUGCAGAGUCCCCCAAAAUGGUAGAUGAUGAAGGGCCGAGAAGGCUUCCUAAGGAUGCCGGAUGCUGUUAUCAUGCAGCUUUGUGCCAGGCUCUCAGAGCCUCCUGGUGUGUAUACUAGCAAAGGGGCAGUGCUCGACAAUAUGAGACCAGCAAUGGGAAGAGGAUUCCCAUUCCAUCUCUGCCAGCCAGGCCUGAGGUGAUGCUGGCAACGAAUGGCACAACCGAAACCACUGGGGAGAAAACAUUUACCAUUAUUCUCUCCCGAGUGGUCUCGGGGAGACCCAAGACCACCCCUUUCACCUAUGAUACAGUGAGUGCUGCGGCUGCACGGACUGCUUGGCUUUCUGUUGUGUGGCUCUUGCCACAGGACCAGAAAGCGGCUAAGUCCCUGCUUCUGCCUCCUGGUUUUACUGGACCAGCAGCAUUCCAAUGCUUGUUGCUUCUUCAUUAAAUUUGUGUUUUCAGGCACUAAAUUAUUUGCAUAAAAUCUCUGAUUUUCUGGAGUUGCAGCUUUGAACACCUGUGCAGCUGCUGCAGAGUUCAGGGAGUGUAUUGCAAAGCUAUCUAUUCUGACUUAGGUUUCUAUAUAUUCCUCAAUUGCCUUGAAAGGGCUUGGAAGCAGCUGCUGAAAAGCCAUAGAAAACCUGAUUGAGGAAGAAAAACAGACUUGGUUGUGCAAUAAACACACAGACUCCUUCCAAUCCCACUGAUGAGAACAAAAAGCACUGCAAGGGGAGGUUGGUUGGGUACCGGUGGGACAUCGUGGAGGUCCUGUUCCCAGCAUGUCAUCGGUGAGGAAAGCUCCACGUGGCUGUAGGAAGAGGUGUCUCCCCACCCAGCCCCUCAGAGAGGAGGCAGGCUGUGUGCAAAUCUUUAACCUUGGUCUCUGAGACAACUUGGCAUUGACAGCUGACGUCUGGCUUUAUGUCAAACAGCUCACAGAGGCUCACGCUGCAGCAAUGGCCCUCAACAAUGUCACCGUGUCUGAGGUGAGCCCAGCUUAAAUCCACGGGGGUUGUUUCCCGGCUGCAUCCCAAACCUCAUUGUUUAACCUACUGCCAAGCAGACCUCGAUUCCCCCAGCACCAAUUCCUCUGGGGCUGGCAUGGGGGGCAAACCCGUGGCAAUGCCAUGUGAUGCCCAAACAGCUUCCACUCCAGAUCCUGCUGGCAUGGCAGUGAGGUGCAAAACCUUCCAGCACAGAUCCACUUCCUGCUCGAUGACAAGGCGUAGGAGUUCAGCAAUACAUUAUUCUGAUUUUCUUGUAAAGUCAUUUUUGUUUUUCAGAUCAAAUUUCAAGAACCCUUGAGAGCUUUUGUUCUGGAAGUUAUAAUAAAUGAAAUCAAUUCUAGGUCCACAGGGAUGUUUUCUUCCCUGAUGUCUUGUUAGUCAAAUCCAAAGUAUAUAAGCCAAGAGUAGUGUGUGUGUUUUUUUUUUUUUCUCUUCUUCUCCUUUCUGUUUGAUUUAUUUAUUUAUUUUGUUUGUUUGUUUGUUUUUCCCUCUGGAGCAAUUUAAGAGUCUGUUAUUUCCUGAAUCAAUUGCAUAUUCUACAUGUGUUAAUUCAUAAAAGGCAAGCUGGGUCUUAGGAAUCUUGUAUAUAAACAACCAUGAGCCUGGGUCUUAGACUACGCUGUUUAUAUGCUAAAGCAAUGUGUAUAUAUAUUGUACAAAGCUGUAGGUGUCUGGGGGACUGAGCAGUAAAAUCCAAAAGUCCUAAUGCGUGUUUCUGCAUACACCUGACUUAGGUUUGUUUAUCUCCAGAUGCAUGCACCGAAUCCAUCUGUUCCUUCACAUCACAAUAAAAUAAUUAUACUAAAAAUCAAGUAAAGGCUGCAUGUUAUCACUGGAGAAGUUUUCCUCUAUUGUAAAUGAACUUAAUCUUUUGCAAAUACAAACUAAAUUUGUAUCUGUGCUAAACCUUUCUGGUACUUCUCUUUGCCCCUCAUCCUGGUUCUGGGCAAGCCUCGAUGAGGAGGGUGGGCAGGCUGAGGGCACUGCGAUCUCUGUUUACUCAGUGUGCCCAAAGUUGGAAAAAUCGCAGUACUGAGGAUGCCAGGGCUGGCACCCCACGCAGGUGAGCCCCCUGGGAUACAGGGCAAGUCUCCCCUCCCACUGGUGCCUUCCCUUCCCUACUGGCUAUGAGUGCGCAGAGGCUUUUCUGACCACCUUGCCUUUUAGGAUACCUUUCUGGGGGAAAUUGCACAGAGCCAGCUACCCCUGAGGAGGGUCUCCUGUCCCUAAGCCGCUGCUGGUCCGUUGUGUUUGCUGCCAGCAGGAUUUGUGGGCAGGUGCCGCUGUCCUCGGACGCGUCCUGCGUGUUGCAGCCAGGCCGUGCCUCGGGGGAGCCUCUCCUGGCUCAUUUUGCCUCUGCACAGUGCGUGUGCUCCGGCGUGAGCUCUGCUGCUGGUCCGUUGACCUAGAAUUAAAUGGCACCGCACCCCUGCAGGGCUAGAAACAGCGUUCUGGAAAUGUUCAUUUCCUGAGGGCUUUAAAUCAAAUUCUGGGUAGGCAUAGCUGCCGUGAUUUAAGGCUUUCUGCCUUCCCUAGCAGCAGUUGAGGUGCAUCAGGACAAGGUGGAUCCAGCUGGUUGUGCUCCAGCACAGCCACCUGCCCAGGCUAGACCAGCACCAGCCAGGCUUGGAAGUGUUUACCUGCAUUUACGUGGGUCUUGAAAGGUUUCUUAAAUUCCGUGAAGUUAAUACAAUGGAAAAUGGAUUUUUUCUGCCCACCUAAGCAAGCCUUUAGUGAUUAAUGCUGUAAAGCAAAAACAACAGCAACAAAUUCAGUUUUACAACGUGCUGUGGAUCCCAGGUCUAUGAGGAAUGCUUGCUUUGUAAAAGAUUUUUUUCCUCCUCCCAGUGCUCUUUCAAAAAUAUUUUAUUUCCAUAAAAUCCCCUUGUCUCCGUAAGCUGCGUGUUGAUACUAAUAGGAUGCAUAGCUUCAUAAUUCUUUGUCUCUUCUUGCACUGGUGUAAGGCUAAGCCCUAUCACAGAGCAGAUAUGUUUUACUAGCAAAGACAGUUAGCAGAGGAGAGGGUUCACCCUUUGUUUGCAAAAUUAGUUGAGAAUUUUUCAUCUGUUCACCUCCUAGUCCUGCAUUGUGUGCCGUCACUACUGCACAAAAAAGAAAACCUGAUGUAUGGGAUGAGUUGCUGGCUGUUGUGUCUCUGAUACUGAACAGAAGAGAGGCCAUCAUGAAUAUAUUUUAAUUCGUGAUUAUUUAUUCUAAAUCUUUGAUUAUUUUAGUGGGGGUGGGGGGAGAUCCUGCAUCUGCAUAUGAGUUACAGAUCAAUAUAGAGGAUCUAAAUAUGGAAGAUGUGUUUAAAAAAAUGCAUUCUUCUUAGUGCUGCUUUUCCAAAUUGGUGUCAUCUGUGGUUAUGUGCUUUGGGAAAGUCUGGAACAUUAAUUAUUGCUCUUGCUUUCUGUUGGCUGCUGGGAAUAGAUGCCUACGCUUUGCCAGCACUUUCCUUGUGGUCUUUUUUCCCAGUAGCAGGUUCACAGCUGCAACACCUCCCCGUCCAUCUUGCUGGGUGGGAAGGAAGAAUCCCAGCCUGGCCUGCUCUGCACUGACCCCGUGGCUCUCUGGCUCGUGGUCUGUGCUCAGCACAGGUCCUGGCUGGCAUGCCCAACCCAGCAUGAUGCGAGUCAGCCUUUGGGAUCUCAUCCCUUGUCCCCGGGGCUAAAUGCACGACUAAAGGUUUUCUUUGAAUGAGAGAUUUCAGAGGCUCUGCUCAGCAAAGCAUGCUGCUACUCGGAAAUAAAGGUACAUUGUGAGUCAGGAUAUUCUUCCUGCCCGUGAAGCUAUCCAGAAACUGCAGAUACGGAUUAUAUGACUUGAAUGCUAUGCUAUUUAUGAUGUGUGUUCAGUCACCUAAAUCACAUUGGCACUGUUUGAGCUUUGCCUGGAUAAUUGAUUCAAAUGUAAAUUGAAUGAAUAAAUCCUUUACAGCUAAAA